GUAUUGAUUGCGUGUGAUCGCAAAUAAAAUAAAAGACAUUCUACACUGCAUCAAUGUUUGUGUGAAAACGCAAGCCCCCCUCCGAACAAGCCGAAAGGGGGACCCACGCGGUGGUGCACAUAGGGGUGAGAUUGGAUUGUGUGAGAGCACCUCGGGCGUGCACGACCUUUUCGGGUCAGCGACAGCCCUCGCGCCUCGGUUGUACGAUAAUGAUCCUUCCGCAGGUUCACCUACGGAAA
rnacentral:misc_RNA from 1 species